GGUUCCUGCAACUGUCAUGGAAAUAUCAUUUUCUUUCAGCAUUUUUAUCAGCAGAAGAGACAUAAAAACCUUAUUUUCACCACCUGAUCUUAUUCAUCUCUGUUAUUUGAACACUUGCACUGGAUCACACACCUUUCUCAUCACUCCCCUCGUCUGAGCAACAGGUAGAUAUGUACACACGUGUUAAUCUACAAAACCUUCAUGCACUAUUAAUUGAUACCCAAUUUGAAUAUACACAUUCCUCACACGUGUGACGAAUUCUGAAGGCAGACAGAAAACUGAACAUAUAUAUUAAGAAGCUCCAAUGGUUGUUCUUUCUCACUAUAUUUUAAAAUUUCACAAUAGGACAAUAUACACUUCUUAAUUUUUAAUUACUUUUUUUAGCAAAUCAAAUAUUAUUAGUUAAUAAUCACUUUUUAAAGGCUAGCUCUUGUUAUGAAAUUAGUUAACUACACCUUUAAGAGAAAGUGAAUAAAGUCAUGUACACGAAAAUUAAUUAAUUAAUUAUGCUAGAAUAAUGAAGAUGAUGAAGUAGAAAAGGCUAAUGGGUGUUCUUAAUUAGAAUUGUCUCAUUUGCAUGAUAAAAGAUUAAUUAAUUAAUUAGCAGCUAAAGAAAAUCUCAGUUUCUCGUUUUGUUCAAGUUAUAUAUCGAAUUACAGAUGAAGAUCUAAACUCACAUGGUCUUGCACGCUUGGCUUUGACUCGUAUCCAUACUGUCCCUGCGAGCUAGAGCCACCCACCUGCGAAGGCUUCAACUCCUCGCCUGCAAACAAAGGCAAGGGAUGCACAGAACGGUCUUGAUGAUGAGUAGCACUACCGUGAGCGGCUGGGAACCGCAACAGGCCUAAUGGACUCCCAUUGAUGGGCUGCUGAGAGUAGGAGCCAUGGCUACCAUAAAACCUAGAACUAUUGGCGUAGCUAUUCCAUGAAGGGUAAGACAUGGUUGGGGUAGGAGUUGAGCCUAUCCUGUAAUUUACCAGCCCAUAAAUAUGAGCGUCAGAGAGGCUAUUGUGAACCAUUGCCGACUGAAGAUGAGCCCGUUUUGCGUGCUGGCGUUCUCUUUUGUGCGCGUUUUGAUGGCCACCCAAAGCUUGAGAUGUAGGGAAAUUUCUACAACAGUAAUGACACUCAAAUCUUCUAUUGUUAUCUCCACUACUUUCGCUUUCUUUUGCAGUGUCUUCAUUGGUUUCGGCGGACGCAGACUCAUCAGCCGCUGCAAUAGUGUCGACGUUGCCUCCGAAUUCUAUGCCAAAGAGGCGAAUGCCCUUUUCUUUGACGAGUGCAGGGCGGAUAAAAGGUAGCUGAGAGAAGGACUCCACGUUCAUGAAGUCGUGAGUCUCUCUUUCACUCUUAUCCAUCAAGAAAAUUGAAUUAUGCUAGCUAUGUAGUUUAUGUGCCCAGUGUUUUAUGCAGGAGGAGGUGCGGGGCUGGCUGGUGGAUGGUCAGGAGGUGGCGGGAGGUGGGAGGUGGAGGAGAAAUUGAGAAAGGAGGAGGGGUAGGAGGAGGAGAAAGGGUUUGUAUGUGGGUGUGUGAUGGUGGGGUGGGGCCUACAAAGGGUAGGGUUGAGAAAGAGUACUGGUGGUGUUAUGAAUGGACAAUUGGGGCUGACCCAUCUGAGAGUGAGGGCUGACAAGGCCACAAGUUCUGGUCAGAACUCAGAUGAGAUGAGAGUGGCUUCGGCUUCUCGAUCUAAGUAC
rnacentral:misc_RNA from 1 species